rnacentral:rRNA from 1 species
AACGUAGGACACAAGCGUUAUCCGGAGUUACUGGGCGUAAAGGGCGUGUAGGCGGAUCGGUAAGUCUACUCUGAAAGCUCCUGGCUAAACUGGGAGAGGCGAGUGGAGACUGUCGGUCUAGAGUGAGGAAGAGGAAAGUGGAAUUCCGCGUGUAGUGGUGAAAUGCGUAGAGAUGCGGAGGAACACCAGUGGCGAAAGCGGCAUCCUGGACCAAUUCUGACGCUGAGUGAGCGAAAGCCAGGGGAGCAAACGGG